AUCCAACUGACAAGUGCUAAAAUAGGAUGAAACGCGUGUCCUGGAU
rnacentral:hammerhead_ribozyme from 1 species